rnacentral:lncRNA from 1 species
UUAUAACGCUACUUAGAAAUCAAAAUCCCUAAAUGCUACUUCUCUUCCUCCUUCUCGCCAUUCACAAACCCUCUUUCUGAAACCCUUAUUCUUGCCGUCCUUCUAUCGUUCACAACUGCCGUUGCCAUCAUACUUGAUUUCUUCUUGCUUAGUUUCACUUUGGCCUCUAAUACCAUCUAUCUCCUUCACUUUGUUUCACUCUGUCUCCUUGGCUUUUAGAUCGGAAUGGACAUUGACUCCUCCCUCCUCCCUGCCACCACCACUGUUCGUUCCUCCUCCUCCUCCGGUGGUUGCACUGAUAUUCUUGGCCGGAGUAACACCCCUUCCUUCUCUUAUUUCAAAGACUGGAAGUUUAAUUACGGAGCCGAUCUAAAAGCCAAGUGAGCCUUUUUCUUGUCAUUUUCGUUUGGUUUGAUUCAUACCCUUUAUGGGUUUUUGAAGAUUAAAUCUUUGAUGGGUUUCUUUUUUGUUUUUGUAUGUAUUAUAUAGUAGACACAUUAUUUUGUUUUUGUUUUUUUUUUCCUUUUUGUUUUUCUUUGUCUGGCAUAAGUUAUUUUCCUAAAUUUUUGGACGAUUGUAAUUAGUGGGUCUGUUUCAAUUUUGGAUCUUGCUUCUUGAAUAUUCAAAGUUGCGUUUUCUUUCUUUUUUGUUUUGGUUGAAGAAAUUUGAUUAUGUUUCACUUCUGUGAUUAAGUUAAGUUUCUUCUAUUAGCUUUAUUUACUCCAUAAUUUCUUUUUUACUAAGUAUUUGCAAAUGAAUAUUCCAUUUUACUUUCACUAUUUUAUCUUAUUUUUGCUCUUUUUAAUGUUUAGUCAAUUAUUCUCAUCUAUGGAGUUUUAAACGUUGGUAUGUGCUUAAGCACUAAAUGCAGAUGUGGAAUGGAAGUGUGCUGAUGUACACCAUAUUUUAAUGAUAUACCUCAUACAUGAAACAUAAUUUUCUAAGGAAAUUCUUAAAUUUACUUGUAGAAUGAGUUAUGAUUCAUAAAUCUGGAGUAUGUAGUAAUUGAUGUCCCUUAAUGUAAUGGAACUCAAUAGAAAUUAUACUGCAGGCUGAGGAGUUUUUAAAUCAGGCUGUGAUCAAUGACGUUACUCUGUUUUUUUUUCCCACUCAAUAGAGAAAUUUAGAAUCUGUUUCUUUUGGAUCAUUUUAAAUUUGCUAAAUUUCAGGUAUUGGCACCAAUUCAUGUACUCUUCCUAUUGGUUUGACCUUGUCUAGAUAUGUAUUACAACAAGCACUUUUGCUGGCCUUGAAUAGACCAUAUGCAGGAUCACAAGGUUAUUGGUAUUUCUAAUUUUUUCCUUUUUUUGGAGGGGAAGGCUACCUCUCCUGCUGUAUCCAAAGUCUUUGAGUCAAUUUCGGUGAGAUCUGCUUCCUCAAUUGCUUGUAAUAAUUAGGACGUUUCACUUUUGUUUUUCAAAUAUCCAUAGCCAUGAACUAUAACUUAUAUGUUUGCAGGGGGUAAAGGUUAUAUACAGAACAAGAGAACUAGAGGAACAAUAAGUCAAAAGGUCAGUGUAUACUGAUAUUUGAUUUAAAUGGUCAAUGUUGAUAGAGAUUAUUUAUUUUUAUUUUUAAUUAUGCUAAGUUUUAUCCAAUUUCUAGUUGUUUCAACUAAGAUGCAACACACUUUGUUUUGAGUUUCUUAUGUGCAUACACAGAGUUUUAAAACUGUGAUGUAAAUGUGAAGAGUUUAUGGCAUUGGGUUGGGGGUGAGGGGUUUAAAUUUUGUUGCAAGGUCAUUCAGUUUUGUUUGUUUAUUACCUGAGAUAGCUGCUGUAAGAUGUACCUAGCAAUAUUGAUAUGGUAGUCUUCCUUAAUUAUAUGAGUGGAUCAGUACUUAUUACAUGAAUAAAAUCCCAUUAGUAUAUUUUGGUGCAAAAAGAAUUUCACACUCUUUUAAUGGUCCUACAUCAAUUCAAUCUAAGCCAUUUUUAUUUUGUUUUCUACGUAGGUACUUCUUAAAUGUCAUCUUCAACAUACUUAACAAGUAGAUGCUUUUGUUAUACUCGCCACCUAUUUCAUCCUAAACUUUCCUUAUUAGAAAAAUCUAUAACCAUCAUAAUAAAAAGAGAAGUUUUCAUUUUUUUGCAGCUUUGUUUGUGUUAUACAUAUUCUAGCUGGCGUCAUGUACCGUCUUGUUUCUUGGACUAUUGGUCUUCCCGGCUUGCUGUCAGUUUCAGUUUCAGUGUCUCAGUUGCUGCUUUUGCCCAAUAAGCCACAUUCUGGCCUGCUUAAGUGACGUAAUUUCAGUAUGUAUGCAAAAGCCACACUCUAUAUUCUGCUGUUGUUAUUGUGAUGGAUUGCCAAAUAUUCGUUUCUGGUGUAUGUGUUAUAAAUUUGUGAGAGAUAGUUUCUUGUCUAUUUAAUACGAAGAUCAACUCAUGCUUGGAAAUUCUGUAUUUGUGCUUUUAUUUUAAGACCUAUUUAAAUACUUUCAUUAUUUUUGGAUGACAUGAAACUUGCAAAAUUCAUAGAACAUUUUUAGAUAUACAGUAUUUCUUGGAGAUGCGUGAUGCCAUAUUCUGAGGAUGCUUACAUUUUUUAAUUACAUGUGCUGGAAAUUGAUAUUCUUUUCUUCUUCUUUACUCUGCUUAUGCUUCAUUUGGUUUUUAUUUGUGUUCUUUUGUUUUUAGGUACUGAUGAAUUUGGAUCUUCUAGCUGAAUGAAGGUUUUACCAAUGGAAUAUCAAUAAUAUUUAAAAUGUUUUGCAACUUCAUGUUCAUAUGAUACAAAAUCAUAAUGCUAAACCUAUACAGAUGUAGUAAAUCUCAAAAGAGUGGAGCUACAUCUUAUCAAACCCCAUAGUGUCUUAGUUAUUUGUUGAAAUGCUUUUAUUAGUUCUAUUAGUCAAAUAUGAGGUAUGAAAAUGAAUUUAAUCCAAACACUAUCUUCCUCUGUAAUCUCUGUUGGAGUUCUGUUUCAAUGAAGCCUUGCUGCUGCUUCUGUAUAUAAUCUUACGAAUUAUUUUAUGACCUGAUAUUUCCAUAAUUCUGUGUAGGUUUGUAUUUAAGUAGACUGGGCGUCCUCGACUGAGAAAUAGAAUUAAAAAAAAAAAGGCUGCCUAUCUGCAAGAACUGGAGGAUCAAGUAAGAAGAAUUGGAAUUAGUUUUCCUGUCUUUCCAUAAUCGUAAUUUUUGCAUGAACAUUUUUGCUGCAUGCUUUUAGGUUUCUAAUUGAAGUAUAUUUGAUUUUCAUGCUAUUGGGGCUGACUUUUGAUGUCUUUUCAUCGGGUUUUUGUAAAUUCAGAACCUUGUACAAUGAAACCAGUGAUUACGCAUGCAGUUCGGAAAAAGGUCCGAGUAGAGUAGUAGACUAAAUGCUUUCAUGCAAGUUUUAAUUUCUUAGGCUGAAGUAGUAUUCUGUACUAUUGAGUUUUUUCAUGCCCCCAUAUUCUGAAAAUUGAAAAUUAAUAUUAGUUUACUUUCCUCCUAAAGAUUGAAAAUUUAUAUAGUUAAUUUCCAGAUUGAGUAUGUUAUUUUAAACGUAGCAUCGAUCUCCUUUAAGGAUUUGUUUUCUGAUUUUUUGUGCAUGUCAGAAGAUAUGAAAUGGUUUAAUUGGCAUAAUAUGAGGUUUUCUAAAAUUUUGAUUAUCUUUUUACCUCUCUUUUCAAUUUAGAUAAUUUUACGGUUAUGCUUGAAUUAAUUGUUCUUUUAAUCAAUUUAGGGUUUGAUUUAAUUGAUUCUAAGUGUCAUCUCUGUUCCCAUUCAAAAAAUGAAGAAUGCACAAAUAAUUUUCAUUUUGUUCUCAAUCAAUUUAG